GGACCCAGUACCUCUUCUUUAUUACCAUGAAUGCUUGGUCCGAGUCAUGACCUGGUGGUAUUGGCAGUAUCCUUUUGGGCGCCCCUAAACCAAAUUAUUGUAAAGCAAAUCCCAGAGUCGGGGCCAGGGUCAAGGCUCAAAAUUCACAGCUCCUGCAACGGGCAACGGUGCAGACCAGCUUCGGUUCUUCCCCUAUCACACGACAAUCAAGGCAAAGGUAUGCAAAGUACACAGAUUAAUUUGUGAUAAUGACCUAUUGAUUUUUAUUGCACCAAUGAUCAAUAUCACAAUUGUAAGGAGUGGCAAAAUGAUCAUGACAAUCAAGAGGAGCAAGAUGCGAUGCUUGCAAUAUGAGACAACAUUUCAUAUUCGAUCUUGAUGGCUUGCAUAUGCACAUAUCAUUUUUCUCCUGUCCUAAUUUUGCAUGUAUUGUUGUUUAGCUUCAAUUUGGGAUAUGCCUUAUCUACAUUGUUCUUUUUUUUACCAAAUUGCGCAAGUUAUAUCUCUCGCGAAGACAUGACAUAAACAUUAUGGUGGAGAAGUUCAACUUGACAGUUUGAAUAUUAAAGAUUGAAUCUUAUAGAAUUCAAAAUCUGGAUGAUCAAAUUUAUUAAAGUUGAAACGUCAGAAACGCCAAUAUAUAUAUAGAACAUGUCAAACAAAACAUCAGCCUGUAACUUCCCUAGGUAAAUCUAGAGCUCGGUGUUCUGUAGUGAUUGUGCUAAUUUGAGCUCGUAGAUAUCAAUAUAGUAACUGGAAAAAAUGUAGCUUAGAAGUAGCUAGAAGUAAACGACAGCAUAUGAAACAUAAAGAACUCCAUUAGUUCUCAAUGUUCUGAUGCUUCUUGGCCGUGUAGCCAGCCAUCCAUCUCCAUCUCCAUCUCCCUCUAUCCUAAGCUGGGUAGGGAUUGUUGGGGAGCAAGGAGGCAGUGGUUGGCAGAAUAUAGGAAGGAAACUCUAUAUCUUUUUUUGACUCAUAAUAGAGUAAUUUACUAAUAAUAUGGUGUCAAUUGGGCUUCGCCACCGAGAACCGGACCAGUUCAGCCCAAGUUAACCUUUACAUCUUUGCACCUAAGAUCAGCCCACCAUUCACAAGGCAGUACUCUUUUUUUUUUUCUUUAAUAAAAGCAAAUUUCAUUAACAGAUCCCUGAAAUUCAUCCAGUUUGAUUUGAUUUACAUUACUAUUCUGAUGAUAGGUUAAACAUGCAUUAGACAUUACAGAUUUGUAAUUUAACAGAUGGAUCUGACAAAAUACAAUAGUUCCUUAAUCCUUACUUUGUGAGACUAGUAGGGACAGAAUCCUCCUCCAUCUUUCUUGGCUCUGUACUUAAUUCCCAGCUUGUACCAUUAAACAUGAAGCAUGUUCUUGGCUAAAAAAUACACCGCGUUUUAGGUUGAAUUCAAGCUUGCACAAGUUCAUAUAAGGAGCUCAAACUUAUUCUCUCCUAAAACCACUAAAUCACCAAGGAAGCUCUCACAAAGCAACAAGGUAAAGAAAUGUUUAAACGAAUUUAUGCUUUAAAGAAAUGUUUGGAACUUUUAAACGAAUUUAUGCUUUAAAGAAAUGUUUACAAACGUACGUAGCUUCUUAGGAUUGCGUAGAAAGCCACAAAGCCGUUGUAGUCUGCGGUAUAAAUUUUAGUUUGAGAUGAAGUUGGUUGGGAGCACCGGACGUGAUGCAUUGCAAAAUAGAAGACUCACAAGAGGUGUCAUUUUCAAUCUAAAACAAGUACACAACAUUAAUUCACUGGAUGCCCCCAUUUGUCAGAACACAUACCACCACUUUUGCUUCUUGUCUUCUCUGCCCAAAAUUCCUCAGGCUAUUACUUCCAAAAGUUAACAGGUGCAAAUGUCAAUGGUGAUGAAUUAUUGAAGCAACAUAGAUAGAGAGAUUGAAUUCAUUCUUACAUGGAUGAUGAGCGAGAGAUGUACACUACUUGAAAUUACGUGUUAAAAUAUUUUGAGUUUUUAUCGCAAAACUAAUUAAUUGUGAGUGGAGCGCUUCAUGAUUUUUAUUAAUUGAUUCAGUUAGUCUUGACUAACAGAUAUGGUAUUAGUUCUUUUUUUUAAAAAAAAAAAAAAUUUAUUUUGACGCUGCGAAUUAAUGUAAGAGAAGAAAAGAAAGUAAUUUAUAAAGAGCAGUAGGAUGGAAUUACAUUUUAUAGCAACAACUAUACGCAAACACGGGAUUUGUGGACAUAAUCACAUACAAUUAGGCAAACCAAAAUAAGCAAACUCCCUAAGUUGUUGUUGUACUUUCAGAUGAUGAACUUAAUAGCUCCUCCAGCAGAUCAGCUCCUAAGUCUUCAAGCUCCAGAACAAUUUUUUUUGGGUUUAUUUCUUUCUUUUGAUUUCUUCUGCGUUUUGACAGACUUCUAAUCUUGUGUGUUUCCUUGAGAACAGCAGCUGGUGAGCAACCAUUCUCCCAAUUGUGCUUAAUCCCUUCAAGUGAUUCUUGGACUCGAUCAGCUGGAAAGUUGAGCGACGCCAUGGGACCCCGCAGUGAAAAUGCUGCUUGGUCAUAGG
rnacentral:lncRNA from 1 species